rnacentral:tRNA from 1 species
GGGCGAUUAGUGUAGUCUGGAUAUCACCUUGGAUUUCUAAUCCGAGAACACGGGUUCGAAUCCUGUAUCGCCCGCUA